rnacentral:rRNA from 1 species
GGGAGCUUAGCUGCCCUCAAAAAAAGAGUGGCGGACGGGUGAGUAACACGUGGGUAACCUGCCCAUCAAAGGGGGAUAACACUUGGAAACAGGUGCUAAUACCGCAUAAUUCCCUUGACCGCCUGGUCGCCGGAUAAAAGACGCUUCGGUGUCUCUGGUGGAUGGACCCGCGCUGCAUUAGUUAUUUGGUGGGGUAACGGCCUACCGACCGUGAUGCAUAGCCGACCUGAGAGGGUGAUCUGCCACACUGGGACUGAGACACGGCCCACACUCCUACGGGAGGCAGCACUAGGGAAUCUUCGGCAAUGGACGGAAGUCUGACCGAGCAACGCCCCGUGAGUGAAGAAGGUUUUCGGAUCGUAAAACUCUGUUGUUAGAGAAAAACAAGUGGGAGAGUAACUGUUCUCACCUUGACGGUAUCUAACCAGAAAGCCACGGCUAACUACGUGCCAGCAGCCGCGGUAAUACGUAUGUGGCAAGCGUUGUCCGGAUUUAUUGGGCGUAAAGCGAGCGCAGGCGGUUUCUUAAGUCUGAUGUGAAAGCCCCCGGCUUACCCGGGGAGGGUCAUUGUAAACUGGGAGACUUGAGUGCG